rnacentral:tRNA from 1 species
AAGACACUAGUAAAAGGGAAUUACAAUACUCUGUCGAGGCAUAAUUGCGGGUUUAAACCCCGCGUGUCUUU